GCGCCGGUGGUGUAAGGCGAACAUCGCUGCUCGGAAAGCAGAAGAUGCGGGUUCGAGUCCCACCUAGCGCA
rnacentral:tRNA from 1 species